UACAGAGGGUGCAAGCGUUAAUCGGAAUUACUGGGCGUAAAGCGUGCGCAGGCGGUUUUGUAAGUCAGAUGUGAAAUCCCCGGGCUUAACCUGGGAACUGCGUUUGAAACUACAAGGCUAGAGUGUGGCAGAGGGGGGUGGAAUUCCACGUGUAGCAGUGAAAUGCGUAGAGAUCGGCAGGAACACCCAGGGGGAAACCAGUCGACUGGGCAGCACCUGACGCUGAGGUGCGAGAGCGUGGGGAGCGAACCGG
rnacentral:rRNA from 1 species